rnacentral:rRNA from 1 species
CGGAGUGGCGGACGGGUGAGGAAUACAUCGGAAUCUACUCUGUCGUGGGGGAUAACGUAGGGAAACUUACGCUAAUACCGCAUACGACCUACGGGUGAAAGCAGGGGAUCUUCGGACCUUGCGCGAUUGAAUGAGCCGAUGUCGGAUUAGCUAGUUGGCGGGGUAAAGGCCCACCAAGGCGACGAUCCGUAGCUGGUCUGAGAGGAUGAUCGGCCACACUGGAACUGAGACACGGUCCAGACUCCUACGGGAGGCAGCAGUG